rnacentral:rRNA from 1 species
CCUACGGGAGGCAGCAGUGGGGAAUAUUGCACAAUGGGGGAAACCCUGAUGCAGCGACGCCGCGUGGGUGAAGAAGUAAUUCGUUAUGUAAAGCUCUAUCAGCAGAGAAGAAAAUGACGGUACCUGACUAAUAAGCACCGGCUAACUACGUGCCAGCAGCCGCGGUAAUACGUAGGGUGCAAGCGUUAUCCGGAUUUACUGGGUGUAAAGGGCGCGUAGACGGCAGUGCAAGUCUGGAGUGAAAGGCGGGGGCUCAACCCUCGGACUGCUCUGGAAACUGUACGGCUGGAGUGCAGGAGAGGUAAGUGGAAUUCCUAGUGUAGCGGUGAAAUGCGUAGAUAUCAGGAGGAAUACUAGUUGCGAAGGCGGCUUACUGGACUGUAACUGACGUUGAGGCUCGAAAGCGUGGGGAGCAAACAGGAUUAGAUACCCGGGUAGUC